CAUGGCCCCACUGGAGAUACCCAAAUUGACUCAGAUUCCCUCAAGACAGAUCAGAAUGAGGUUGUAUAUGGGCCAGAUAAAUUUUCCCCAUGGAUUACAUUUGUUGGUCAUCUGGUAAAGAAGCAGACUUCCCAGGUGACUCCUUUCAUCUGUGCUCUGGGGACACACUGUUGAAAGCUAAUGCCAAAUGGGCGGUGCUGCUGCUGUCUCUGAAGAAAACUGUUUUCUAUCAGGUUAUGUGCUCUUCUGUCCUGAAAGCAAAUAGGUCCCCAACAGCAGAACAAAUACUCCUCUCCUCCUGAAACACAGCUCUCAGC
rnacentral:lncRNA from 1 species